GACGAACGCUGGCGGCGUGCCUAAUACAUGCAAGUUGAGCGCUGAAGGUUGGUACUUGUACCAACUGGAUGAGCAGCGAACGGGUGAGUAACGCGUGGGGAAUCUGCCUUUGAGCGGGGGACAACAUUUGGAAACGAAUGCUAAUACCGCAUAAAAACUUUAAACACAAGUUUUAAGUUUGAAAGAUGCAAUUGCAUCACUCAAAGAUGAUCCCGCGUUGUAUUAGCUAGUUGGUGAGGUAAAGGCUCACCAAGGCGAUGAUACAUAGCCGACCUGAGAGGGUGAUCGGCCACAUUGGGACUGAGACACGGCCCAAACUCCUACGGGAGGCAGCAGUAGGGAAUCUUCGGCAAUGGACGAAAGUCUGACCGAGCAACGCCGCGUGAGGGAAGAAGGGUUUCGGAUCGUAAAACUCGGUUGGUAGAGAAGAACGUUGGUGAGAGUGGAAAGCUCAUCAAGUGACGGUAACUACCCAGAAAGGGACGGCUAACUACGUG
rnacentral:rRNA from 1 species